UGGGGAAUUUUGGACAAUGGGCGAAAGCCUGAUCCAGCAAUGCCGCGUGUGUGAAGAAGGCCUUCGGGUUGUAAAGCACUUUUGUCCGGAAAGAAAUCCUUGGCUCUAAUACAGUCGGGGGAUGACGGUACCGGAAGAAUAAGCACCGGCUAACUACGUGCCAGCAGCCGCGGUAAUACGUAGGGUGCAAGCGUUAAUCGGAAUUACUGGGCGUAAAGCGUGCGCAGGCGGUUUGCUAAGACCGAUGUGAAAUCCCCGGGCUCAACCUGGGAACUGCAUUGGUGACUGGCAGGCUAGAGUAUGGCAGAGGGGGGUAGAAUUCCACGUGUAGCAGUGAAAUGCGUAGAGAUGUGGAGGAAUACCGAUGGCGAAGGCAGCCCCCUGGGCCAAUACUGACGCUCAUGCACGAAAGCGUGGGGAGCAAACAGGAUUAGAUACCCUGGUAGUCCACGCCUAAC
rnacentral:rRNA from 1 species